UAAAGUUUAUGUGAGUUGGAUUCCGGAGUUCACCAAAGUCAUGGUAGGCCUUAAAGCUCAUACAUCACUGACAAAUGUUCUUACUAAUUACCCACCAAUGUAGCACUCACGCCAGCAGUGGGAGUUAAGUCCCCGCCAUUAUGAGGUAUGAGCCAACUCUUUAACCAACCUCCGUUGGCGUAAAUCACUUUCUAUUAUCAACUUCCUACCACCCAAACAUUCAUUCAUUUUCUUCACUUCAACCCUGCAUAACGCUUCUCUCGAUCAAAAACGGUAUCACGAACGGGAAACAAAUGACCAACUUAAAACACUUCUGAUUGAGAGUCAUCUUCAGUCUCGGACUUUGGAACAGUGUUGUUUUCCAUAUAUUCCUUCUCAAUAGUAUCCUUGAGGAUAAACAACCUCUGAAUAACUAUAGGAUCAGUCAUUUGCCUAGCUUCUCUCAAAUCUGAUUCUUCCUUGUUCAGAUUAUAUGCAUCUAGCAUGAUCUGAAUCCAUUUAUGCAGUUCCUUUGGCGUACUGUUUAAUUAUUCACAUACAAAUUAGAGGAGUAUCAGCACAACACAAUCAUUACAGAAAAGGCAUACUUUUGAAUUAACUAGUAGGAAAUUUUCUUACGUGUAUAAAGCAUUAGGAUCUUUGGCUUCAUGUUCAUCACCAGGGGAGAAAGCUGUUGCCAAGGCAGAGAAUCGCUCCUCGGGAUCUAUGAUGUUUAGCAAAUGCUUCAAUAGCCUUAUUUCUUUUGGGGCAAUAGUCCUUAGGCUGCUCUUUGUGGUCUUGUACAAUUGGUACAUUAUCUCUUUCACCUGCACAAUAUCGAGCAAAAUUGUUGAGUACACUGUACACAUUAUCCAGUUUGAGUCUACACUUCAGCAUAAAACAAGAAUAGGUUUAAUGAAGAAAAAAUGCAAGGUUUUGCAUGAAGAUGUUUAAUUUUAUAAGAACAAAGGAAGAGGCAUUUCACCUUGUAGAGAAAUUACUUUGGCUGUCUGUCCAAGUAACAAAAUUAUAUAGGUAAAUAUAUACCUUGACACCUCUCAAAAAAAUAGGCCAUAAAAACUCAGGGUUCAAUCUGUUCAACAUUUAUGGGUUACAGUACCACCUAAAAGGUUUCUUGAAUUGUGAUGCUACUACUGAUCAUAUUUGCAUCUCUAGGAAUGUGAUUUGGUUUAAAAUCGAUAUUUUUGUUAUAUUCUCAAAGUUCGCUCUCGAAUCGUUGCCACCCUUUCUGACUAUAGUGAGAUCUCUCGUUCUAUCGAAUAUUUCAAAUCAACUGUUGUGCAUACAAGACAUGAGUUCAACUUCGGCACCUUGAUGAUCAACUUCCACACACUUCUCUUAAUAGUUAAUGUGAUUAUUUUACAUUUCUAUUCCUACUUGUUCUCUUAAGUUAUAAGUUCGAACACUCACUAUUGUUUGGGUCUUGAGGUGUAUUCAUAUUCACAGGGUAUUUUCUUACAACAACAUAA
rnacentral:lncRNA from 1 species